rnacentral:rRNA from 1 species
UGGGGAAUAUUCCGCAAUGGACGAAAGUCUGACGGAGCAACGCCGCGUGAGUGAUGAGGGUUUUCGGACUGUAAAGCUCUGUUGUUUAGGACGAAAGUGCCUGCUGCGAACAGUUGCAGGUAUUGACGGUACUGAACGAGGAAGCCACGGCUAACUACGUGCCAGCAGCCGCGGUAAUACGUAGGUGGCAAGCGUUGUCCGGAAUUAUUGGGCGUAAAGAGCAUGUAGGCGGGAAUCUAAGUCUGUUGUGAAAAUGCGGGGCUCAACCCCGUAUGGCGAUGGAAACUGAAUUUCUUGAGUGCAGGAGAGGAAAGGGGAAUUCCCAGUGUAGCGGUGAAAUGCGUAGAUAUUGGGAGGAACACCAGUGGCGAAGGCGCCUUUCUGGACUGUGUCUGACGCUGAGAUGCGAAAGCCAGGGUAGCGAACGG